UGUUGUAUUGGCUCAGUGGUUAAGGCUUUGGGUCAUCACUCAGAAGGUUGUGUGUUCAAAUCCCAGCAUUGUCAA